GAUUAUACAUUUAUAAAGUCCUUCUUCACCCAGUAGAGAUGGGAGACACUCUGGAGUUUAAUAACAUUCAUACGGAGGUGAAGGGGUCUUGGAAUGACGGCCGGCUG